rnacentral:rRNA from 1 species
GAACGCUGGCGGCAGGCCUAACACAUGCAAGUCGAGCGGUAGAGAGAAGCUUGCUUCUCUUGAGAGCGGCGGACGGGUGAGUAAUGCCUAGGAAUCUGCCUGGUAGUGGAGGAUAACGUUCGGAAACGGACGCUAAUACCGCAUACGUCCUACGGGAGAAAGCAGGGGACCUUCGGGCCUUGCGCUAUCAGAUGAGCCUAGGUCGGAUUAGCUAGUUGGUGGGGUAAUGGCUCACCAAGGCGACGAUCCGUAACUGGUCUGAGAGGAUGAUCAGUCACACUGGAACUGAGACACGGUCCAGACUCCUACGGGAGGCAGCAGUGGGGAAUAUUGGACAAUGGGCGAAAGCCUGAUCCAGCCAUGCCGCGUGUGUGAAGAAGGUCUUCGGACUGUAAAGCACUUUAAGUUGGGAGGAAGGGCAGUAAAUUAAUACUUUGCUGUUUUGACGUUACCGACAGAAUAAGCACCGGCUAACUCUGUGCCAGCAGCCGCGGUAAUACAGAGGGUGCAAGCGUUAAUCGGAAUUACUGGGCGUAAAGCGCGCGUAGGUGGUUCGUUAAGUUGGAUGUGAAAUCCCCGGGCUCAACCUGGGAACUGCAUUCAAAACUGACGAGCUAGAGUAUGGUAGAGGGUGGUGGAAUUUCCUGUGUAGCGGUGAAAUGCGUAGAUAUAGGAAGGAACACCAGUGGCGAAGGCGACCACCUGGACUGAUACUGACACUGAGGUGCGAAAGCGUGGGGAGCAAAC